UCCUAGCCCAGAUAGGAACGGUUACCCCGCAACUGGAUGUGGGAGAGUUGGUAGGUUUGGAAUGGGAAAAGGGUUGGCGUGAGGAGUAUGAGUGGAUAGCUGGAUUAGCU
rnacentral:sRNA from 1 species